rnacentral:rRNA from 1 species
AGUCGAGGGGUAGAAUUAGCUUGCUAAUUUGAGACCGGCGCACGGGUGCGUAACGCGUAUGCAAUCUGCCUUUCACAAAGGGAUAGCCCAGAGAAAUUCGGAUUAAUACCUUAUAGUAUAUUUUUGUGGCAUCACAGGAUUAUUAAAGAUUUAUCGGUGAAAGAUGAGCAUGCGUCCCAUUAGCUAGUUGGUAAGGUAACGGCUUACCAAGGCAACGAUGGGUAGGGGUCCUGAGAGGGAGAUCCCCCACACUGGUACUGAGACACGGACCAGACUCCUACGGGAGGCAGCAGUGAGGAAUAUUGGACAAUGGGCGCAAGCCUGAUCCAGCCAUGCCGCGUGCAGGAUGAAGCAUCUAUGGUGUGUAAACUGCUUUUGUACGGGAAGAAACCCCGCCACGUGUGGCGGACUGACGGUACCGUAAGAAUAAGGAUCGGCUAACUCCGUGCCAGCAGCCGCGGUAAUACGGAGGAUCCAAGCGUUAUCCGGAAUCAUUGGGUUUAAAGGGUCCGUAGGCGGGCCUGUAAGUCAGUGGUGAAAUCUCCCGGCUCAACCGGGAAAUUGCCAUUGAUACUGCAGGUCUUGAAUUAUUAGGAAGUAACUAGAAUAUGUAGUGUAGCGGUGAAAUGCUUAGAUAUUACAUGGAAUACCGAUUGCGAAGGCAGGUUACUACUAAUG